CCUACGGGAGGCUGCAGUGGGGAAUAUUGCACAAUGGGCGCAAGCCUGAUGCAGCCAUGCCGCGUGUGUGAAGAAGGCCUUCGGGUUGUAAAGCACUUUCAGCGGGGAGGAAGGCGUUAAGGUUAAUAACCUUGUCGAUUGACGUUACCCGCAGAAGAAGCACCGGCUAACUCCGUGCCAGCAGCCGCGGUAAUACGGAGGGUGCAAGCGUUAAUCGGAAUUACUGGGCGUAAAGCGCACGCAGGCGGUCUGUCAAGUCGGAUGUGAAAUCCCCGGGCUCAACCUGGGAACUGCAUUCGAAACUGGCAGGCUAGAGUCUUGUAGAGGGGGGUAGAAUUCCAGGUGUAGCGGUGAAAUGCGUAGAGAUCUGGAGGAAUACCGGUGGCGAAGGCGGCCCCCUGGACAAAGACUGACGCUCAGGUGCGAAAGCGUGGGGAGCAGACAGGAUUAGAUACCCUAGUAGUC
rnacentral:rRNA from 1 species